rnacentral:rRNA from 1 species
AGAGUUUGAUCCUAGCUCAGGGUGAACGCUGGCGGUGUGGAUAAGGCAUGCAAGUCGAAUGGGUUUAGACCCAUGGCAGACGAGGUAGUAACACGUAGGUACAUCCCCCAGAGUCGGGCAUAACCAGUCGAAAGAUUGGAUAAUACCCGAUGGUCCCACUGAUUUAUUUCUUUGGGUAAAGAUUUAUCGCUUUGGGAGUGGCCUGCGUCGUAUCAGCUUGUUGGUAAGGUAAUGGCUUACCAAGGCUAUGACGCGUAGGGGAGGUGAGAGCCUGACCCCCACCGAUGGAACUGAGACACGGUCCAUACUCCUACGGGAGGCUGCAGCCGAGAAUAUUCCGCAAUGGGCGAAAGCCUGACGGAGCGACACCGCGUGAAGGAUGACGGUCUUCGGAUUGUAAAUUUCUUUUAUGAGGGAGGAAAUUUUGACGUUACCUCAUGAAUAAGGGGCUCCUAAUUCCGUGCCAGCAGGAGCGGUCAUACGGAAGCCUCAAGCGUUACCCGGAAUCACUGGGCGUAAAGGGUGCGUAGGUGGUUGUAUUAGUCUUUUGUUAAAGACCGGGGCCCAACCCCGGGAAUGCGAAGGAAACGGUACAACUAGAGGAUAUGAGAGGUGUGCGGAACUCAUGGUGUAGGGGUGAAAUCCGUUGAUAUCAUGGGGAACACCAAAGGCGAAGGCAGCACACUGGCAUAUUCCCGACACUGAGACACGAAAGCGUGGGUAGCGAACGGGAUUAGAUACCCCGGUAGUCCACGCCCUAAACGUUCCUAACUAGCUUUGGGGAGUAUCGACCCUCUCCGAGGCGAAGCUAACGCGUUAAGUUAGGCGCCUGGGUAGUACGAGCGCAAGCUUAAAACUCAAAGGAAUAGACGGGGACUCGCACAUGCGGUGGAGCGUGCGGCUUAAUUCGUCGCUAAGCGAAGAACCUCACCAAGGCUUGAAACCUACGGGAACCUACGCAGAAACGUGUAGGGCCUUCGGGCUCGUAGGCAGGUGAUGCAUGGCCGUCGUCAGUUCGUGGUUUGAAUUGUACCGUUAAGUCGGGCAACGAACGCAACCCCUAUUGUCUGUUACAUGUGUCAGGCAAGACUGCCCUUUUUGGGAGGAAGGUGGGGAUGACGCCAGGUCCGUAUUUCCCUCUGAUGCCUUGGGCGGCACGCGCGCUACAAUGGGUGCUACAACGGGACGCGACGGGGUAACCCUGAGCAAAUCCUAUAAAAGCAUCCUCAGUUCGGAUUGUGGGCUGCAACU